UACGUAGGGACCAAGCGUUGUUCGGAUUUACUGGGCGUAAAGGGCGUGUAGGCGGGAAUGUAAGUCGGGCGUGAAAUCCCUAGGCUCAACCUAGGAACUGCACUCGAAACUGCGUUUCUUGAGUAUCGGAGAGGAAAGCGGAAUACCUGGUGUAGAGGUGAAAUUCGUAGAUAUCAGGUGGAACACCAGUGGCGAAGGCGGCUUUCUGGACGAUAACUGACGCUGAGACGCGAAAGCGUGGGAGCAAACAGG
rnacentral:rRNA from 1 species